UGAGGCUCGGUAAUUGGAAUGAGUACAGUUUAAAACCCUUUACGAGGAUCUAUUGGAGGGCAAGUCUGGUGCCAGCAGCCGCGGUAAUUCCAGCUCCAAUAGCGUAUAUUAAAGUUGUUGCAGUUAAAAAGCUCGUAGUUGGAU
rnacentral:rRNA from 1 species